UACAGAGACUGCAAGCGUUAUUCGGAUUCACUGGGCGUAAAGGGUGCGCAGGCGGCCAAGUGUGUUAGGCGUGAAAGCCUGAGGCUUAACCUCAGAAUUGCACCUAAAACUACAUGGCUAGAGCAUUGGAGAGGGUAGCGGAAUUCACGGUGUAGCAGUGAAAUGCGUAGAUAUCGUGAGGAACACCAGAGGCGAAGGCGGCUACCCGGACAAUUGCUGACGCUCAGGCACGAAAGCGUGGGGAGCAAAAGGG
rnacentral:rRNA from 1 species